GGAUAAAGGAGAAAAGCAAAGUUGUUUGGUGUCUUCUCUGAUCCUGUCUCUCCCUAGCAUCCUCCAUAUCACCAACUUGUAUUUUUUAUCGUGUCCCCCUUGCUUCAUCCCAAAGGCUGUGCACAUUUUCCUGUCUUCCCUUACUCCUUUGCCUGGGGAGCCUCUGCUAUAUAUAAUCUCCUUUCUUGUGACCUCAUGGAACGUCAUCACAACAGCCCUGGUUGGUUCGAGUGCUUAUUCUGGCCUGUGCAAGGGCCAGUCACAAAUGAGGAGGAGGGUAGCCAUCCUUCCAACACCUGCCAACAUCAGUCUGACUACUGAAUACAAGAUGCUCUUAAAUGGAGAAGGACUCAAGACAGAGAAGCCACCCAAUGGGCUACUGCAAAAAGUCCAGAAGUGAGAUAAUUAAAGGCCUCCAUCAAGUUUUAUCUGGCAAGGUUAAAGGGAUUUGCUAAGAAGGGAAGGAGAGAUAUAAUUCUAACAACAUCAAGAUUGAACCCUCCAGGGCCCAAGCCUAAGGGCACAGAUAGAAGAGGGAUAUAAUGCAACAAACAGAAGACAGAGAGAAGUGAAGCAUAGAUUUCGGCCGUGAAUCCUUACAAGCCACAGACAAGGCAGCAGUCAAGGACCAUACUCCUUUCUCACAGAGAAUUUUUGCAAGUCAUAAAAAGAGAGGUAAACCAUGUAAGGCAAAUUUCAAGUUCAAGUGGUAAGAUUAUAAUUAACCUAUCAAGAAUCACUGACCUAACUAAGAACUGUGAAACCCAAGGAAAUUAUCUUUUAUUUUGGAAGAUUGUUGCUGAAUGUCCUGGAAGAGGACACUUCUUAUCACACUGCGGGAUAAAGUACAGACCUAAAAAUUUGUAAACAACCAAUGGAGAGAGAAGUAAAAUGGUGGAACCUGAGGGUCAGUCUCUGAAAGACAGCUGGCAGGUAAAAAGAAGAUACUGAAAGACAUAAUCAUCUAGUCAACCAGAAAAUCUUGUCAAGGGGCAGCACAGAAGAUCUUGAUAGAUAUAAUAUUCCUGAAGGAUUACCUGGGUAACCAACCAGUGGAUCUUGGAUAUAUCAGUCCAACCGCCUAUAUCUGAGUGACUUUAGAAACAGAGAUUAUUAAAUUCUAAUUAUAGAAAAUGACAGUUUCACCGGGACAUCUUUUUGCCAGAAUUAGCACUCUCAAGUUUUCCAGCAAGACUGGUAUUCCAAGUGUUCUAGGUGAGGGCUCAUUCUGUUUAUAAACAUGGACUCCAAAAGAAAACCUUUGCCAUUAUUACUCAAUGCCUUG